rnacentral:lncRNA from 10 species
AGUGAUACGAAUAUUUCCAGGCUCCUACAUGAAGUAAUUACACUGCUAUGAACACAUUUUUGCACAGAAUAUAGGUAAAGCAUGAACGGGCAUUUUAACAGAAGAAUCACAGUACCGCUCACUUCUAAGGCAGUAUUUGUUUCAGGCUUUGCGACCAAUCAGCAGUUUUCACACCCAGUCCUGGAUUCGGUCUCUGCUAUUUUACACCCAGGCAAGGGCACUGAGGACAGCACUUGCAAGCCUCUCUUAGGUAGUACAGGAAGCAUAACAUUGGCAUCUGCUUCUAGGGAGGUCUCAGGAAGCUUUUACUCAUGGUGAGUAAAAUGAUCCACCCCCAUGAUCCAAAUACCUCCCACCAGACCCCACCUCCAACACUGGGGAUUAUAUCCUAACAUGAGAUUUGAGCAGGGACAAAUAUCUAAAUGAUAUCAAUGACCAUCCCCAAGACACAUAGUCAUCAGAUUCCCCAGGGUCAAAAUGAAAGAAAAAAUAUUAAAGGCAGCUAGAGAGAAGGGUCAGGUCACCUACAAAGGGAACCACAUCAGGCUAACAGCAAACCUUUCAGUAGAAACCUUAUAAGCCAGAAGAGAUUAGGAGCCUAUAUUCAGCAUUCUUAAAAAACGUAAAUUCCAGCUGAGAAUUUCAUAUCC